GAUGGAUCACUAAAUUCUACCCUUGAAACUAAUAAUAUAGUAUAUGUUAACUAGAUUGAAUUUAAAUAAAGAAAAGAAAACAAACAAAAACUAUUCUGAAGGUAAAUAUUCAUCCUGUCCUCACUGAGAUGGGGAAACUCGGGCACAAAAGAGGUUAAGUAACUUGCCCAAUGGCAUAGUAAAUAUCAGAACCGGAUACAGACCUAAGUGUGUGACUCUGGGGUCUGUGCUCCUAAUCCCUAUGCCAUCAUGCCUCCUGAUUUAUUCAAAAAAAGGAAUAAAUUAGUGAGGUAGUUUAUCAUCUAGAAAAGUACUUUAAAUGAGUAAAUGAAGCUCAGUUUUAUACACUUGCAAAGAUUUCAUCUUCUCUGAUUUCUUCAUAUUGUCUUCGUAAUUCCUAUUACAGAGUCACAGCCAAAUGUAGGUAAAGUAUACACUUACUUGUAUUUCACACUCUGUUUACCAACAAACUUUUUAUUUUUUGAGGCACUUGCUAAGUGCCAAAGAAUAAGGCAUGGUCCUUCCCUCUGAGAGUACCCUGGCUUCUCAUACACAAAAUAAUCCACAUAGUGCAGUUCAUGCAGUGGGUUCUAAGAGUUCUCAGACAAAACGGCAAUAGAAGUCAGAGUUGACAAAGAUCCCUGCUGACCUGGGUGACUGGGAAAGGCUUUGCACAGGAGUAGCAGAUGAACAGAACUUUGAGAUGGAUAAGAUUUUUGUUGGGCUGAUAAGGGGAGAACAUUCUCCAGUAGCCAGGACAGCUUGAAGAAAGAAGCUAAUAUUAGAAAGCACAAGGCAUGGCUAAAUAGUGGAGUGCAGACUACAUUAGUUGAAAAUGGGACUUGUAAAGUUCUAGGAACGGGAACUGUGUAAAAUCUAGACUACCAGGCAAGGGAGCUUGGCUUUAUUUCAUGUAAAUUUGUUGAGCAAGGUAAUAACAUGGUCAUCGUGGCUAUCAUCAAAGUAAGAUUACCCAUAUAUUAUUUCAUAUUUUAUAAAUUCACAUUGCCUAGCACAUUGUAGGUACUCAAGAAAUUUCAGUCCUCCGAUCUCUUCCCUUACUCAUUAGCUAGGUGAUCUCAUUAGCUAGGUGAUCUCAUUCAGUCUUGUGGCUUUAAAUGUCAUAUAUACAGUUACAACUCCAAAAGUAUGUAUCUUCAUCCCAGGCUCUCCCUGAACUCUUAGAUAUUUGUACACACAACUGGCUAUUCAACACCUCCACCUUAUGUCUAAUUGGCAUUUCAAAUUAAACAUAGCUAGGUGAUCUCAUUCAGUCUUGUGGCUUUAAAUGUCAUAUAUACAGUUACAACUCCAAAAGUAUGUAUCUUCAUCCCAGGCUCUCCCUGAACUCUUAGAUAUUUGUACACACAACUGGCUAUUCAACACCUCCACCUUAUGUCUAAUUGGCAUUUCAAAUUAAACAUAGCUAGGUGAUCUCAUUCAGUCUUGUGGCUUUAAAUGUCAUAUAUACAGUUACAACUCCAAAAGUAUGUAUCUUCAUCCCAGGCUCUCCCUGAACUCUUAGAUAUUUGUACACACAACUGGCUAUUCAACACCUCCACCUUAUGUCUAAUUGGCAUUUCAAAUUAAACAUAGCUAGGUGAUCUCAUUCAGUCUUGUGGCUUUAAAUGUCAUAUAUACAGUUACAACUCCAAAAGUAUGUAUCUUCAAUCCCAGGCUCUCCCUGAACUCUUAGAUAUUUGUACACACAACUGGCUAUUCAACACCUCCACCUUAUGUCUAAUUGGCAUUUCAAAUUAAACAUAGUCAAAACUAGGGACUUCUGGGUGGCUCAGUUGUUAAGUGUCUGCCUUUGGCUCAGGUCAUGAUCCCAGGGACCUAGGAUUGAGCCCCGAGUCGGGCUCCCUGCUCAGUAGGGAGCCUGCUUCUCCCUCUCCUUCUGCCCCUCCCCCUGCCUGUGUGCUUUCUCUCUCUCUCUCUCUCUCUCUAUCAAAUAAAUAAAUAAAACCUUUAAAAAAAUAAAAUAUACAUAGUCAAAACUGAACUCCUGAUUCCUACCCUCCCCCAAACCUUCUCCUUUCAUAGUCUUCCUCAAGUCAUUAAAUGGCAACUUCAUUCCAUUUUUUUUCAGGCCAGAAACCUUGGAGUCAUCCUUGACUUGUCUUUCAUUUCUCCAUCCAACUCCUAAGCAAAUUCUCUUGGUUUUACCUUCGAAGAAUAUUCUAAAUCUACUUCUCGCUACCUCCACAACUAACCCUAGACCAAGCCACUAUAAUCUCUUGUCCAGAUUAUUGCAGUGGUGUCUUAACUGGCCACUCGCCCUCCACCCAUGCAACUUUUCUACCCCUUCAGUCUCCUUUUCUAAAAAACAGAGACUUUAAGAUAUAUACAUAAGGCAAAUCAUAUCACUUCUCAAAACCCUGUAGUAGUUCCCCAUCUAGUUCCAAACUUUUAAAAGGCCCUCCCUGCUGUGACUCCCUGGCAUUUCUCUGACUCCAUUCAAUCUUUUCCAGUCACUUUGGCAUCCUUGCUAUUUGCGAAAUACAGCAAAACAUUUUCUCACUUCAAGGCCUUGCAUGUGCACUUUCUUCCUCUAGAAAUCUGCAUUGCUCAUGCCCUUCCUUCAAGUCUUGCUCAAAUGUUGCCUUUUCAUUGAGGCCUUUUCUGACCCCCCAUUUAAAAUAAGUCUUUCUUCCCUCCUUUCAGCUCCCACCUUUCUAACUGACAGCCCUUAGGCUGUCUACCAUUUAUUGAGUUCCCACUGUGUAUUAGGCAGUUGUGCUAUGCACUUUACAGGUGUCAUCUAUUUGAAUCCUUACAACCGACUUAUGAAAUGGGUAUUAUCAUUACCUUAUAGUUGAAAUAAUGAAAGGCACAAAGAAGCAGAUUUCAAACCCUUGUCCAAAAUCUAUUAUAUCGGGCAAAUAUUAUUCCCGUUUUACAGAUACAGGAACUGAAGCUUGUAAGUUAAGUGUUUUGUACAAGAUCACAUAACCAGGAAGUGGAAAUUAAAUAUGAAGGUCCUGAUUCUUUCCAUUAUAUCUCACUGGCAGCCUGGAAAGGUAAGUUGACAUGAAGAAAGACUGAAGCCAAAAGAAUAGUCAAGGGAUGUUGCAGUACCUAAAAUGAGAUUGAUAGGGGCACCUGGGUGGCGCAGUUGUUAAGCAUCUUCCUUCGGCUAAGGGCAUGAUCCCAGCGUUCUGGGAUCGAGCCCCACAUCAGGCUCCUCCGCUGGGAGCCUGCUUCUUUCUCUUCCACUCCCCCUGCUUGUGUUCCCUCUUUCACUGGCUGUCUCUCUCUGUCAAGUAAAUAAAUAAAAUCUUUUAAAAAAAAUAAAAUGAGAUUGAUAAAAAUGCAGCCAAGAAGGGGCAGAUUAGAGAGAUGCUUAUACAUAGUCUACUAAUGCCUGGACUAAGUAUUUGAUAAAUGGUUCCACAGUUUCUCCUAUAGCAUCUGUACUUGGAGUCAGAGAGAUCUUGGUUCUAAUACUGGCACUCCAUCUGUUUGCUGAGUUACAUUGAGUACAUUAUUUCUGUUGGCUAUAUUUUAGUUACUUCAUCUUUCAAGUGAGGAUAAUGUCAUGUGUCCUCACUAAUAUAUUGUGAUGAUAAGAUUAAAAGUGAUAAUGAAAACACUUAGUAAACGGCAGAGGCCCAUGCUGCUUGAUUUGGUAAUGCUGAGUUCCUUUUAUCCAUUUCCAGCAAGUCACUGCUUUUGCCCUGUCUUAACCUUUAAAAAAUAAGUUUUGACACGCACUCCUCAUUCCUAAUAUGAGGGUGACCUGCAUUUUGUCAUUUCUGUUAUAACAGACUGUUCCUUGGAAGAAGUCCACUAUUUAUUGCAGUCUCCCUAGUGUAGAAAAAAUGUGUUCUGAGUAUUGGCAGUCAUGACAAGGAGACAGCACAGUGAUAAAAAGAACCUGUUACCAGGUGGAGGUUGGGCGAGGCACACAACCUCUCUAAACUUGUUCCUUUAUCUGUACAAGGCAGAUAAUAAUAACUAUGAAUGAGGUGGUUAUAGAAUUAAGAGAGGUGAUUUGAGGGCAAGGACACGACACAUGGUAGGUGCUCAGGACAUGUGAUGCUUUAAAAUGUGUAGACCUUGGGACCCCUGGGUGGGUCAUUCAGUUAAGCAUCUGCUGGGUCCUGGGAUCAAGUCCUGCAUCUGGCUCCUUACUCAGCGGGAACCCUGCUUCUCUCUCUGCCUGCCGCUUCCCCUGCUUGUGCUUUCUCUCUGUCUCUCUCUCUCUCUCUGACAGAUAGAUAAAUCUAUCUAUCUAUCUUAAAAAAUAAAUAAAUAAAAUAAAAUGUGUAGACCUUGUGCUUGGAAGAAAUAACAUGGCUCACCAGCUGGACAUGCCUCUGGGCAAGGCACUGUGUGUAGGAUGAAACCACACCAUCUCACUUUCAGCAUAUUUUCCUUUAAGGGAGCAUAUUCUCUCCUCCUUCCUGCAUGUUACUGUUUCCACAAAGCAGAAUACUCUUAGUUGAGAUUGCAUGGAAAUAUGACUAACCACCAAAGAGGCUUGCAGUGAAAUGUGUUGGUAUAAUUUCCUGCUUAGUUUCAAGAUGAAUUGAGUCUGAGCCUUCCAAAAGUGGGUGGAUCUCUGAUGUGAAAGUUUUCUUUGAAAUUUUUAUGGCUGAUUUGGUGACCUCUUCAAUUCUCACAGCCUUUUCCACCUCUCAAUCAGACAGGGGAAUUAACAAUUAUUAAUAUCCUACUCUGCGCCAGAACCUGUGCCAGACCCUUCAGAAAGCAUUCUCUCAUUGAAUCUCUAUACAAACCCUAAGACAUAGAUAGUAGCCCCAUUUUACAAAUAGGACAGCUGAAGCUAAGAGACAUUAAGUAAUCUUUCGGGAUGCCUGGGUUGCUCAGUUGGUUAAGCAUCUGCCUUUGGCUCGUAUCAUGAUUUCAGGGUCCUGGGAUCGAGCCCCACGUUGGGCUCUCCACUCAGCGGGGAGUCUUCUUCUCCCUGUCACUCUCCCUCUGUGCUUUCCUCUCUCUCUGUCUCUCUCAAAUAAAUAAAAUAUUUUUUAAGUAAUCUUUCCAAGGUCACAUACAUAGUAACUGACAUAAUUGUGAUUUGAAACUCCAAAGUCUAUGCUUUUUAUCCUAAGCAGAAAACUUUUUCAUAUAAUGUGUCAGGGGGACCCCAAGACCACCUCCAGAUUUGAUGGUUGCCUAGGAGGACUCACAAGACUAAGCAUGUAGUCAUACUCAUGGCUACAAUUUACUACAGUAAAAGGAUACAAACCAAAAUCGGCAAAGGGGAAAGGCGCAUGGGGAGAAGUCCAGGAGAAACCAGGCACGUGCUUUCAAGGAUUCUCUCCCAGGAGAGUCCCACAGAUUGAGCUUAAUUUCCCCAGCAGUGAUUUGAAACAACAUAUGCGAAGUGUUGGCACGCAAAGAAGCUUACUAGGGACUUGUGUACCCAGGGUUUUUAUUGGAACCUGAUCACAAAGGCAGAUACCCUCCGCCUAGGUACCCAAAU